CCUAGAAUGGCAGAAUUAACCAUAAAUGAAGUAAUAUGAAAGUUUAAAGCCUAAUUAGAUGGCAACACAUCAACACUGGGGUCAAAGCAUCAAUACUCUCAAGAAUGGAUAUGGUGAUUAAUAGAAAGUUUGGGGGAAGACACCAUCUAGCUCCAAGACCCUGCCCAGAUGCCCAAAAAUACUUGACUGCCCAGAUGAGCAUCCAGUUGUACAAGAAUAUGAAACUAUUGCCCAAAGCAUUAUUGCAUUGCCAAGGCCCAGGCAAUGCUUUUAAUACAUUGGUCAUCCCUAACUAAAUAGGAGUCUAUCAGUAUCAUGAAUUAUGCAAAACAAGAUUUUUGGUUUGGCUUUCAAGUGAAACUCUGCCUAGAUGAAAAGAAAAAUGUCAACUCAAAUUUCAUUUGUAUCCCAAUUGAAGUAAAUUUUUAAUCCCUAUUAAUGUGAUAGAUAUUCGAAUAUUUAAUGCGGAGUUAAAUUGAAGUAGUAUUGUUAUAAUGAAAUUAGACAGAAAUAUAGAGGACAGAAGUUACUUGGCUACCAGUACAAAGAGCUCGAAAAUUUUCUGCACAAUAAACAUGAAAAUUUGUAAGUAGUAUGUAUUUAGGAAAAAAUAUAUCUCAAGGACAACAUAGGCAUGGCUGCUGGUUCAGUUCAAGCCAGUUCUGAGCCGAAACCAGCAGUUCUGGUUCAUUAGUUCAAGUAGACCAGUACCGGACUGUAAAGUCCCCACAGUUCCAGUCUCAAUUUGGAUCCAAUCCCGAGCUCAAUUUAGUUCCAGUUUGAUUCAACUUUGAUCAAAUCUAAACACUGAAAAUUUUUUCUAAAUUUUUUAAAGGAAAAAACUGGUUUUGACCUAGAACCAGUCUGACUGGUUUUAGUCUGGUUCAAUGCGGGUUUUAUCAAAUUGUUUCAGACUGAUUUAGAUCCAGUUUUUAUUUUGAGUUGGAACAGUCCGGUUCCAGCCCAGAACGGGACCAUGGCCGUGCCUUUUUUUCAAUAGAAGGUAACUUGCUCAUUGCAUUUGGACUCCAUACCUGCGGUCUUAGGAACUGUUUUACCAAAGAGACCAAUGACGAUACGACCUGAAAGUAAAAGGUCAUAUAUAAUGUGAUUCAAUCCAGAGAGCGUUAACAAAUACAGAUAAACUUGAGAGGCAAAUUAUAGAGAAAUGAUAGAUAGAGAUUGUCUAAUGUUGGUAGUAACUAAACAUCCAGAAUAGUUUAUCUAAUAAUAAUGCAUCAAAAGAACAGGAUGAUCAUUCCAAUUACCAGAUCCAGAUUCAUUCUCUAAACAAUUUCAGCACAUCAACAUCAAAAAAACAGAAAAUAAACAUAACUUCCAAAUUUCAACCAAAAAGUGGAAAAAGAAAAUCACUAAUGAACAAGAUCUACAAUUUUUAAAUAUCAACACUAAAUUGGUCUCAAACAAAAUUGAAUAGCAAAAAAUGACCAUAUAGCCGAUUUCAACCAUUUGGGAUUAUGGCUUAAUUGUUGUUGUGUACUAAUGAAAAAGACCUUGCUUGCUUAUUUCAUUCUAAAGAAAAACAACAAUCACACUCUAUUCAUAGAUCCUAAUACACGGAAUUACUAGCUCAUAACUGUUCAUGACUAGCACAAAAUUAUUCAUUAACAUUCAUGGGAAUAUGAUCAAAAUAGAUAAUUUUUGCAUAUAUAACCAAUAUUCAGGGGGCUUAUAAAUCAUAACAGAAAAGGGGGAAACAGAAAAACUAAUAAUUCAAAACUUAAUCCCACAACAAAUUAUAUAUAUAUAUGUGUGUGU
rnacentral:misc_RNA from 1 species